GUUAGGAAUCUUCCACAAUGGGGGCAACCCUGAUGGAGCAACACCGCGUGCUGGAUGAAGGCCUUCGGGUCGUAAACAGCUUUUGUAUACGAAGAAUAUGACGGUAAUAUACGAAUAAGGGUCGGCUAACUACGUGCCAGCAGCCGCGGUCAUACGUAGGACCCAAGCGUUAUCCGGAGUGACUGGGCGGAAAGAGUUGCGUAGGAGGCUUAUUAAGCGAGUAGUGAAAACUGGUGGCUCAACCAUCAACACAUUGCUAGAACUGAUAGGCUUGAGAAUGGUAGAGGUAGUUGGAAUUUCUUGUGAAGGAGUGAAAUCCGUAGAUAUAAGAAGGAACACCAAUGGCGUAGGCAGACUACUGGACCAUUUCUGACGCUGAGGCACGAAAGCGUGGGGAGCGAACCGGAUUAGAAACCCCAGUAGUCC
rnacentral:rRNA from 1 species